rnacentral:misc_RNA from 1 species
AUAAAUAAAGAUUGCUUAGAACUGUGAUAUAGACAGAAAUACAAGUAUAUAGUUAUGUAUAAAAAUAAAAAUAUAACUAUAUUUAAAUAUUCAGUCGUAUAUAAAAUCUGUUAGAGAAGAGAGAGUAACUAAGUGAGAGCCAGCGCGAGAGAGUUGCUAAAGAGACCAGGAAAUCAGGGAUUGGUGGCUGGCUUGUAAUGCCGAUUAUGAAACGAGCGUCAGACGAUUCGAAACUUCCUUCUCUCGCUUCUUUGGAGUCUAUAGGGAAGAGAAUAGCUGUUCAUAGAAGUGAAGGUUCUAUCUCCCCAAAUGCAACAGAUCUUCCAAAAUUGCCUAUAAAUUCAUUUGAUAAGGGCGUAACGGAAAAGAGAAGUUUUUUCCCCCUCUCUCGUCCAAUCGAUAAGGUAACGCCUUUUAUAAGUAUAUCUUUAGCUAGAGUAAGAAGAGAGCAUAAUAGCUUUAUUGUCUAACUGCGCGAAACAAAGACAGAAAAGAAUCCUAGCUAAAUUCAAUAUUCUUUGACUAGUUUUAAUAUCGAAAUAAAACAGAUUAAAAUAAUUGUUGCAUUCGGAUUUUCGGCCAAGUUAAAGCAGGCGUGACGAUUGCACAGCCAAACAUUUAAGAAUAAAACACUCUACACCCAAGCAAUUACCAGAAAAAUUAUUUCCAACAUUGAUUAACCUAGGAAAUGUUUCCAUUGGCUCUGCGGUCGUCGAAAUCGCCAAUUUACAAUGGUCUAGCAGAUAAGUCACAUAUAUCCAACCUAAUCGAGGUUAGAUAUAAAUCACAGAUUUAUUAUAUAUAAUUCAAGACAUAUAAUAAAAUAUUAUAAUGCGUUAAAUAUAUAAAUAUAUUUAUAUAGAUAUAAAGUUCUAUUAUUUUGAAUAAAGAUAUCUAAAUAUACUAUCUAUACUGUAUAAAUUAAUAUAUAUAUAUAUAUAUAUAUAACUUAUGAACGCAUAUACUUUAAUAUAUAUAUAUAUGUAUAAUAUAUUAGAUAUAUUACUUUCUUGCCGUUAAAUAUUGAUCUCUUUUUCUGAAUGAUCAGAAGUUGUAAGAAGAAAAAAAAAAGGCUUUGGCUGCCUUAUUAAAACCUAAUACUUUUUAAGCGCUGUUGUUAGCAGGUGCAAAAUGGUGAACGGGAAUUUAAUUCAAUAGCCCUACCCUUCCACUCUCAAUCCUUCAAGUUAGUAAAUAUUUUGCCCUUAAUAAUUCAAAUUAAUAACUCUUCCUUUUUUUCUAAAUAAUAUAAAUGAUUAAAGAAGCAGGGAAAUAUGUAGAAUCUCUCUUUCUUUCUCUCUCUAUCUCUCUCUCGCUCUUCCAAUAAAGUUGCUUUUAAUUUUUGUUUUAUAUCUUGUUUUUUUGUUUUUUCAAUUUCUUUUUCUAAAAUUGAAACGAAUAAAUAGGCCUAAGACUUUGGAAAAUGUUCGAGUGGUUGGUACCCCAAUGAAUCUUCCGACCGUCAAAAAGGAGACGAAUAAUAGUAAUUUGGAGUUAGAUGAGAAAAAGAACAGGUAUCCAACCUGUCGAAGAGCUUUUCCACGAUUUUUUUUAUGAGCACUAUUUUUUAUUGAGGAGGAAAGUUAUGUACUAACGAUAAGGCUAGUGCCUGUAAUAAAUUGCGUUAGAGGGUUCCUUUUUUUUCAAUUUUUUCUCCACUCUUUUAUUCUCUCUCUAUGAGCUUCAAAAGUCUAUCGACGAGUUACACUAAUGCCUUUUUUUUCUAAUUGUUAAUAAAGUUUUUAAUACGCUUGAUACUGAAUUAAACAAGAAUAUAUCGUUAUUAGGUCGUCGACUGUCGUUAAAAAGGUACCUUUAAUGAAUGCUCGACAUGGCGAUAUGUGGACUCAUCAGUUCGACGGAAGUAGCUUUGGCUCAAAAAAUCGGGAUAUGUUCCUAUUCAGAGAUAGGCAAGAAAUGGAAGAUAAAUGGAGCUAUCCAGAAGGGCUUAAUUUUAGUCAACGAGACAGAAUUGAAGCUGAAAAGGAGUAUAAAGAAAAGAUGAAGCUGUGGAGAAGGAGGAGGGAGAUGAUGUUGCAUAGGUUGCCAAUUGAUAUGUUACUUGGGGGUACUAAAGUGGUUAUGACAGAGAGGAUGGAUAUUUUGGGGGAAAUUCGCCGUCUGAAGCAGGUAGAAUUACCUACAAGAGCGAAAGAUUUAUACGUUGGUCGCGGUAUUAGACUCCCACCUGAUCACACUAUUAAUAGACCUAAACAUAAACUACCAAUUGCCAAUUCUUAUGCAAAGCCUUCGCCCGCUCCCUUAAAGUUUCCAGAGCCAUCACCCCCAACUGAAAAAGUGGAAGAGUUUACUAGAGAACAGGGAACUAAGGAAGAGGAACAAGUAUCUCAAAACGAUCACUAUCCCAAUCAGAAAAAGGGUACACUUUUUCCAAAUCCUACCCCUUCUCCACCAUCUCCUCCUCCUCCUGUUGAAAAAGUACCGAAACCUUUAAAAGGCUUUGCGGAUUAUACAAAAUUAGUGGAUGCAGAGCAAUUGAUUCAGCUACAAAAGACUUUUAAGCGUCUAGACUCAGAUGCCGACGGCCACGUUCAAUUUGACAAAAUUGAGAAGGAAUAUUUAAAUGAUAUGACAAAGCAACAAAUUAAAUAUCUUCGACAUAUUUAUCAAGUAGAAUCUGAAACGACCUUUUUCGGCGAAAAGGAAUUCGUUCCAUUCUUUAAACUAAUUGAGACAAUUAGAAACCUGGAAAAAACAUUCUCUAAUUCAUUCGACACCGUAAACUUUGAUCAAUUAGAGGAGGAAAUCUCAAAAUACAUGGCUUUAUUCUUAAAAGUCGAUGUUGAAGGAAAAGGUGAGGGAAAACUGGAUGAUUUAUGCAGAUUGUUAGCAGAAUUAGACAGACUAGAAAUGGAUUCUGAAGGUUUACAAUUAUUGAAGACUUCGUUCAAGGUGAUAGAACUGUUUAAUUAA